AAAAUGAAAUGACUCUCGAUAACGGAUAUCUCAGCUCUCGCAUCGAUGAAGAACAUAGCGAAAUGCUAUACUUGGUGUGAAUUGCAGAAUCUCGUGAACCAUUGAGUCUUUGAACACAAGUUGCGCCCCAAGCCAUUAGGCCGAGGGCACGUCUGCCUGGGUGUCAUGCACCGUCGCCCCCCUUUCGACCCCCCACCCAUCGGGUUCUCGAGGAUGGGGGUGGGCAAAAGAUGACCUCCCAUGAUCCCGUCGAUCACGGUUGGCCCAAAAGUGAGUCCCCAGUAAUGACAGCAUCGUGAUCGUCGAUGGUAGAGCUCCCAGCAUGCCUCAUCCUCGGUGACGUAUGCUCAUUGUCUACUUAGACCCCGUUGGACCCCCCGUAUUGCUCGAUCGAUACUCGCGUCAAGACCCUAGGUUAGGUCGGAUCACUCGUUGAGUUUAAGCAUAUCAAUAAGCAGAGGAAAAGAAACUUAAUAGGAUUCCUCUUGCAAUGACGAGUGAAUCGGGAAGAGCCUAGCUUGAGAAUUGGGCACUCCUGGCAUCCAAAUUGUAGUCUAGAGAAGCGUUUUCAGUGGCAGAGAGGGUAAGAACCCCCUGGAAAGGGGUGUCAGUGAGGGUGAGAGCCCUGUUGUGCCCAGAUCCUAUCGCACCAUGAGGCGCUAUCCACAAGUCGACUUGUUUGGGAAUAUAGCCCCAAUCGUGCGAUAAAUUCUGUCCAAGGUUGAAUACGGGCGAGAGACCGAUAGUGAACAAGUACUGCGAGGGAAAGAUGGAAAGGACUUUGAAAAGAGAGUCAAAGAGUGCUUGAAAUUGUCGAGAGGGAAACGGAUGGGGGCCAACGAUGCACCCUGAUCGGAUGUGAAACGAUAAGAGCCGGUCUAUCGAUCGGCUCGGGGCAUGGAUCGACGCAGGUCGCGACGGUGACCCAAGCUCGGGCUUUGGAUGUGCCUACGAAGACGUCAUCACUAUGAUCAUGGAAUGCAGUACAUGUCAUCUUGACGUGCCACAUCAUUGGCGUGUUUCUGGUAUCGACCUGUGGGCUCCCCAUCCGGCCCAUCUUGAAACACGGACCAAGAAGUCUGACAUGCAUGCGAGUCAACGGGCCAAGAAACCUAUAAGGCACAAGAAAGCUAAUUGACGGAAUCCCUGGCGGGUGCACCAUCCAUCGACCUUGAUCUUCUAAAAAGGGUUCGAGUGCAAGCAUGCCCGUCGGGACCCAAAAGAUGGUGAACUAUGCCUGAGCGGGGUGAAGCUAGAGGAAACUCUGGUGGAGGCCCGCAGCGAUAGUGACGUGCAAAUUGUUCAUCUGACUUGGGUAUAGGGGUGAAAGACUAAUCGAAUCAUCCAGUAACUGGUUCCUUCUGAAGUUUCCCUCAGGAUAGCUGAAGCCCCUAGCAAGUUCUAUUGGGUAAAGCCAAUGAUUAGAGGCAUUGGAGGCGCAACGCCCUCGACCUAUUGUCAAACUUUAAAUAAGUAAGACGGCAUAGCUGUUUCGUUGAGCCGUGCCAUAAAAUCGAGAGCUCUAAAUGGGCCAUUUUUGGUAAGUAGAAUUGGUGAUGCAGGAUGAACCAGAAGCCGGGUUACAGUGCCCAACUGUGCGCUAACCCAGAACCCACAAAGGUGUUGGUCGAUUAAGAUAGUAAGACGGCUUGUCAUGGAAGUUGAAAUCCGUUAAAGAGUGUGUAACAACUCACUUGUCGAAUCAACUAACCCAAAAAUAGAUGGUGAAUAAGCGCAUGAUCUAUAUUGAACCGUCAGGGUAAGAACCAGGCCCUAAUGAGUAGGAGGGCAUGGCGGUCAUCAUAAAAUCAGGGGCGUGAGCUCGGGCGGAGUGACCGUUGAUACAAAUCUGGGUGGUAGUAGCAAAUAUUCAAAUGAGAACUUUGAAGGCCGAAGAGGGGAAAGGUUUCAAGUGAACGGCACUUGCACAUGGGUUAGUUGAUCCUAAGAGAUGGGGGAAGCCCAUCCGACAAUGCAUCUUAUGUGAGCUUUGAAAAAGAAUCGGGUUAAAAUUCUUGAACCAGGAUGCGACGACUGAUGGCAACGUUAGGGAGUCCAGAGUCGUCGGCGGGGGCCUCGAGAAGAGUUAUCUUUUCUGUUUAACGGUCCGCCCACCAUGGAAAUGACUCAGCCAGAGGUAGGGUCCAACGAUCGGAAGAGCACCACACAUCAUAUGGUGUCCGGUACACCCCUGGCGACCCUUGAAAAUCUAGAGGAUCAAGUGCCGUCUGUGCCCGAUCAUACUCAUAACCUUAUCAGGUCUUCAAGGUGAACAGCCUAUGGUUGAUGGAACAAUGUAAGCAACGAAAGUCAACAAAAUGGAUUCGUAACCUCGAGAAAAUGAUUUGCUCUGAGGGCUGGGCACGAGGGUCCCAGUCUCGAGCCCGUCAGUUGUCGAUGCACUACUCGAGUUGCUCCCGCAGCGAUAGGAAGUCGUCGCUUGAUGAUCGGGGGACGGACUGGGAAUGGUUCCCUCAAAGGCCUUCCCCGGACGAUGAAUAGUCGACUUAGAACUAGUACAGACAAGGGGAAUCUGACUAUUUAAUUAAAACAAGACAUUAUGAUGGUCCCUACAGAUGCUCACGCAAUGUGAUUUUCUGCCCAGUGCUCUGAAUGUCAAAGUGAAGAAAUUUAACCAAGUGCGAGUAAACGACGGGAGUAACUAUGACUCUCUUAAGGUAGCCAAAUGCCUCAUCAUCUAAUUAGUGAUGCACAUGAAUGGAUUAAUGAGAUUCCCACUGUUCCUGUCUACUAUCUAGCAAAACCACAGCCAAAGGAAUGAGCUUGACAGAAUCAGUGGGGAAAGAAGACCCUGUUGAGCUCGACUCUAGUCCGACUUUGUGAAAUGACUUGAGAGGUGUAAGAUAAAUGGGUGCCUCCGGGCGAAAUUGAAAUACCACUACUUUUAAUGUUAUUUUACUUAUUCCAUGAAUCAGACAUAGGGCACGACCCCUUCUUUUGGACCCAAGGUCGGCCUCGACUGAUUGAUCAGGGUGAAAAACAUUGUCAGGUGGGGAGUUUGGCUGGGGUGGCACAUCUGUUAAAAGAUAAUGUAGGUGUCCUAAGAUAAGCUCAACGAGAAUAGAAAUCUCGUGUGCAACAAAAGGGUAAAAGUUUGUUUGAUUCUGAUUUCCAGUAUGAAUACGAACCAUGAAACCGUGGCCUAUCAAUCCUUUAGACCUUCGAGAUUUGAAGCUAGAGGUGUCAAAAAAGUUACCACAGGGAUAACUGGCUUGUGGCAGCCAAGCAUUCAAAGUGACGUUGCUUUUUGAUCCUUUGAUGUUGGUUCUUCCUAUCAUUGUGAAGUAGAAUUCACCAAGUGUUAAAUUGUUCACCCACCAAUAGGGAACGUGAGCUGGGUUUAGAUCGUCAUGAGACAGGUUAGUUUUACCCUACUGAUGGUGGCAUUGCGAUAGUAAUUCAACCUAGUACAAGAGGAACCGUUGAUUCGCACAAUUGGUCAUCGCACUUGGUUGAAAAGCCAGUGGCGUAAAGCUACCAUGUGCUAGAUUGUGAUUGAAUGCCUCAAAGUUAGAAUCCAGGCAAGAAGUGAUGCAUGCUCCCACCAUCCAAUUUCCUACCCGCAGUAGGGGCCCAUGGCCCCCAAGGGCACGUGCUGUAGGUGUUGCCCCCACAGAGGACGAGCAGUGCGGGCCUCUUUAGAGCUUAAUUCCCACUAAA
rnacentral:rRNA from 1 species